GUUAACAAAUCAGAUGUUUUGGUGACAGAGGAGCUAAAUGUUAUUCUUCCCUUAUACGAAAGAGGAUUGGUUCUACUAGAAAAAGAGCCGCAUGAGAUUUUAAAGGAACUUGAUAAGAAUACCGCUCAUCAUCCUUCUCGUUUCGCACAUAUUUUAUAUGCUUUGGGAACGAAAGGAAAACUUAAAGACGCUAUAAAGGCUUUUGAACAACGCAAAAACUUAUAUUCUUUAGAAACGAUAAG